GAUGAACGCUAGCGGGAGGCCUAACACAUGCAAGCCGAGCGGUAUUGUUUCUUCGGAAAUGAGAGAGCGGCGUACGGGUGCGGAACACGUGUGCAACCUGCCUUUAUCUGGGGGAUAGCCUUUCGAAAGGAAGAUUAAUACUCCAUAAUAUAUUGAACGGCAUCGUUUAAUAUUGAAAGCUCCGGCGGAUAGAGAUGGGCACGCGCAAGAUUAGCUAGUUGGUGAGGUAACGGCUCACCAAGGCAAUGAUCUUUAGGGGGCCUGAGAGGGUGAUCCCCCACACUGGUACUGAGACACGGACCAGACUCCUACGGGAGGCAGCAGUGAGGAAUAUUGGUCAAUGGGUGCAAGCCUGAACCAGCCAUCCCGCGUGAAGGACGACUGCCCUAUGGGUUGUAAACUUCUUUUGUAUAGGGAUAAACCUACCCUCGUGAGGGUAGCUGAAGGUACUAUACGAAUAAGCACCGGCUAACUCCGUGCCAGCAGCCGCAGUAAGAC
rnacentral:rRNA from 1 species